CAAUAGCGUAUAUUAAAGUUGUUGCGGUUAAAAAGCUCGUAGUUGGAUUUCGGGGUGGCCUGCCUGGUCCACCGCAAGGUGAGUACUGGUCAGCCGCCCUUCCUCUCGAAAGCCCCGACUGCUCUUCAUUGCAGUGGUCGGGUAGUUCGGGACGUUUACUUUGAAAAAAUUAGAGUGUUCAAGGCAGGCUAUCGCCUGAAUACAUUAGCAUGGAAUAAUGGAAGAGGACCUCGGUCCUAUUUUGUUGGUUUCUAGGGCCGAAGUAAUGAUUAAGAGGGACAGUUGGGGGCAUUCGUAUUUAAUUGUCAGAGGUGAAAUUCUUGGAUUUAUGAAAGACGAACUAGUGCGAAAGCAUUUGCCAAGGAUGUAUUCAUUAA
rnacentral:rRNA from 1 species